rnacentral:lncRNA from 1 species
AUAGUACUUACAAAGGGUUUAAGGUACGGCUACAGUCAACUGUUAUAAUGAUGGGCAUGACUGCCUUAAACGAAACACAUCACAAGACUUGUAAAAAAGAAAACUGUUUACAUGUAUGUUGAACAUAACAAAAAGCUACAAACAUAUAGCAAACUAGUCAUGUUUCUUUUGCCAGUAUUGUGUUUCAAGUGCUGUGACAAAUUUCGUAUCAGGUCAAGAAAGAAUAUACUAUUGCUGACAGAGCCACAUAACAACCUGUUGUCAGUGCAUCAAGCUAUGAAUCCUAAAUGAACAUUUCACACUUCGUGUACCUUGGAGAGCUAUGAAAGUAAAGCAACCGAGCCAUGGCAGUUUUUGAUAUAGAACUAUGUUUUCAUACAGUUUCAGUUAUUCAUUGUUUGUGUAUUAUCAGUAAGAAAGUGUAUUUUCAUGUUCUCAGGCUGUUUAGACAUAUUUACAUAUGACAUGGUGAAUGGAUUAUGAAUGUAAUGAUACAAGAGUACUUGUUGGUUUUAUGCGUUAUGAUGGAAUGGAUUAUUUCUCAUAUAUUUGUGGUCGCUUACUGCCUACUGAAGUCGAAAUUUCUUGACAUAAUUUAGCUAUGAA